UGAUCCCUCGUUCUCUCUCUUCUGGUUUUGUUAACGAGUGAGAUGAAGUCCAAGCCGGUGACGUCGUUUUACCUGACUCUCCUCACACCUCCUUUCUUUUGAAACCUUCUUUUCCACCCAGAAUGUUUCCACCACUUUAGCUAGUAGUCUCUUGACUUCUUCUUGUCGAGAGCAUUCUUCAGUCCACUUCCAAAAGAUUCUCAAUAUUGAAUCACAUCCAACAUAUCUCAAACCGGCCUCUUUAUUUUACAAAAACAUGAUAAACUGUGUCUGAUCCUCCCUGAUGCACUUGCAAGGUCGUUUCUUGAACUUAGGACUUUGCAACAAGCUACAAAAAGAAAUUGGUUUGUGUAAGGUUUGGUUUUAGUUCGGUUUGGUUUAAUAUGAUUUUGUUUGUGUUUGUUUAUUCGAUCGGGUUGAUUUUUUAGUUUUUUUCGCGAUCAGUUACAAAAAUAUAAUUUAUAGGAAUAUAAACAAAUCAUAUUUGGACACUAAAUCAAUAUUUUCUUCAUAUUUAAAUGUAAAGUCAGACAUUACAUUAAGAUAUAUAAUAUAUAAUUCAAUAAUAUUAUAUUAUUAUCUUCAAACUUAGUAUAAAUAUCAUAGGUAAUUUUUGGUUUUGAUGUUAAUGUAUAAGAUUCAUAUUUUUAGUUGUAUUUAUUCUAUUUAUUUAAAAAUAAAAUGUAUAAAAUAAUGUUUACUUGUUUACGUUAAUGGUUAAAUAUAUUAAAUUUUAAUAUUAUUAAUAUAUUCAAUCUAAUUAAAAAAUACUUCGGUUUUUUGAUUUGGUUCGGUUUAAAACCAAACCAAACUGAACCAUUUGGGUUGAUAAAAUUUUGAACCAAAUGGUUUAGACGUAUACUUUGGUUUGGAUAGGUUUGAGUUCGGUUGGGUCGGUUUGGUUUUGUUGCCCACCCCUUAGAACAUGUAUCUUGAAUAUUACGGAACCAUGCAGGUGAUACAAAAGCAUUUUUAAAAGAUGAUGGUCCAAUGAAACCAGCUAGAUUGAAAUUGUACGCGAAGAAGACACUGGCAUGCACACUCGUAUUAGAAGAGGGCAAGAGCUCAGUAUAUAUAACCCCGCACACACCCUGGUCAAGAGACCGGUACGCUUCAUAGAAACUGGUCCAAAGUUCCAUCAACUUAUUGUCUCCACUAGGAUCACAAGCCCACGUUACUAAGCUCGACGUACUCUUAGUGUGAGCUAAGCUUAUAUAUACAGCAAGGAAAAUUUUGUUUCUUCCGAUGUGGGCUUUGGUGAUUUAUAAACAACGUACAGAUCACUCCCAACGUCGUCGUUUCUCAUAAAUUUCCUUUUGUUUCUUCUUCAACACGGAAUUUCAGCUUUCCUUUUAGUAAUCUGAUGGAUUCGUCUUCAUUACUGCGUAAAGCUGCGUACAGUUUCUGUCAGUUAUGCGUUUAGGAAUGAAACUACACGAAGACAAACUCAAAUUUAGCACAAGGGUUGUGUUGAAUAUUAGUACUUGUACAAAGCUUGUCUCUGCGUGAGGCCAAACGGGUAAAUCCUGUGCGCUCUAAGCUCGUUGUCUCCUUUUAAGCUUGGAGGCCUUUCCUUCUUCCACACCGGCUCAUGUUAUAAAGACUUGAACUUGGCCAGAACCACAGACUCAAGAGCUUAUAGAGUCAGAUGUUUACCCCUGGGAUUGGACAAGAACGGUUCCAUAUAUCAUGUUGUUUGAUUAAGUAAGUGAGCAGUUAAGUAAACAUAAAGAUUGAUUCCAUCUUGCUGAGAAUCAAAGUCCCUUUUGAUCGCCAUUGAUAGUCUUCAAGAACCUCUUCUUGAGCUUGAACCAAAGAACACACACGAUAUAACCCAGUUUUAGCCGUGUUAACUAAUGAGUACAUCUCUUCUGGUUUUGGUAACGAGAGAGACGAAGUCCAAGCCGGUGACGUCGUUUUACUUAACUCUCCUCACGUGACUCAUCUGAGUAUAUUAAACCUCCUUUCUUUCAAACCUUCUUUCCCAGCCGGAAUGUUUCCACCACUUGCUAGUAGUUUCGCGACUUCUUCUUGUCAAAUGCAUGCUUCAGUCCACUUACAAAGAUUCUAAAUGUUGAAUCACAUCCAACACAUCCCAAACCGGCAACUUUCUCUUACAAAAACAUGAUAACCUGUGUCUGAUCCUCCCCUGGUGCACUUGCAAGGUCGUUUCUAGAACUUAGGACUUUGCAACAAAGCUACAAAAAGGACUCGGCUAUGAUGUAACUUAAUUGAGAUGACAUGGCUUUGGAGGCAUACUUCAUUACCAUCAUGGAGCCAAUUAAGUUUUGGGAGUUUAUGUCACUGCUUCUAGAAGGAGUUGGCUAUGAGAGGUACGUUUUCUUUAGAACAAGCUACAAAAAUGUUAUUCCCCUGGUUAGUCAUAGUUAGAUAUUUCAUUUGUUCCCCAUGAAAACUGAGUUCAUAUAUUUUUUAUGCAUAUUGAUAACUUAAUAGAAGUUGGUUUCUUAAUUUGAAUCUUUGUUUUCUCCGAAAUUUAUUUUGGUAGAUUAUUAAAAAAAACUCUUACCAAAGAGAUUAACAAGUACAUAUAAAAACACAUUUGGAAGUAUACUAUUGGUAACCUUUUUUUACCUCGUCUCAGAUAAAUACUAAUUAUAAUUUUGCAGGCCAAGUAUAAAGAUACCUGCUGUUGUGAUGAUGCCCGUAGCACAUCUUGUGGAACUGGCAUAUAAAUUACUUGGACGAUAUGGGAUGAAAGUACCAUAGCUAACACCUUUUUAGAGUUAGGUUGUUCUGUACCUAUAGAUAUAAGGUAAGGUCUCAUACCGUCCCGUUUUUGGGUUACGUAUCACAGGAACUCCAUCUUCAGCCAUCAUUUUGGUCCACAUACCAUAGAAAUAGAUCAAACCAGAGGCAUAGCCAUAUGCAAAUUGUCGGUCAUCAAGAUGAUAGAUAGGCAUACCCUCUGGAGGGAACUUCAUAUGAAAUUUGGGGGUUACUACUUGAGACGAUGAAGGCUUCUCUAUGGACUCAGAUGCUGAGGCAAAGAGAAUAUGCUCCACAUACCGUGCUCUUCGAUGGCGAAUAAGAGACGCGGCUGAGCUCAAUAGGAAUAGAAUCUGAUAUCAUGAUCGUUUAAUUGGCUGGUCGAAGAAGAGAGAUGUUAAAAUUUAUAUUAAGACCUAGCUAGAGACACCUAGCCAUAUGAAAGACCUCGGCUCUACCAUAUAUAUAUCGUGAAAUGAAACAGCGAAGCGGCAGAGAAAAUAAAUAUAUAUUAGGGCGGCCUUAACAUAAUCCCAAGAAUCAUCGAAAAGGACCAUGCUGAUCGAAAGAUUUGUUGAUAUUAAGGAAUAAUGUAGUUUGUAUUUUUUUGUCAGUUAACCAUAUUACUAGACUAAGUUCUGAUCAGAAAAGACGUUUCUCUAAGGAACAUUUCCAUCUGACAGUAUCUGAUCUAUAUGAAAAAAUAGUACACUUCUAUUCCCCUGUUUAUUACCAAUCAAAAUGCCAUAUAGAUUAGUAAUAAAAUACAUUCUUUUUUUUUUCAACUCUAAAAUAAUUGAAAAAUAUAAUGACGCUCAUUUUAAUAACGCUAACACCAUUAACUAAACCCUAAAUCUUAAAUUCUAAACUAUAAACUUUAAAUCUAAACCCUAAACCUUAAAUUCUAAACCCAAACUCUAAACCCUAAACCCUAAACCCAAACCCUAUAUCUUAAACCUAAAUCCUAAACUCUAAACCCAAACCGUAAACUCUAAACCUAAACCCUAGACCUUAAACUCAAACCCUAGAUUCUAAAUCCAAACCUCGACUCUAAACCCAAAUCUUAAACCCUAAAGAAAAAACGUCAACAUUAACCCAAAUCUUUAGGAUAUAGGAUUUGGGUUCAGGAUUUACGAUUUGAGUUUAGGGUGUAGGGAUUAGGUUUGGAUAUAUGGUUUGAGUUUAGAGUCUAUGAUAUGGGUUUAGGAUAUAGGGUUUGAGUUUAGGGUUUAAAGUUUGGGUUUAGGGUUUAGGAUUUGGGUUUAGGAUACAUGGUUUGGGUUUAGAGCUUACAGUUUGGGUUUAGAGUUUAGGGUUUAGGAUUUGAGUUUAGGGUUUAGAGUUUAGUUAGUGGCGUUAGUAUCAUUAAAAUUGGUGUUAUUAUUUUUUUCAAUUAUUUCAGAUUUUUUUAAAUAAAGUUAAUCUAUUUUAUUACUAAUUUAGGUGGCAUUUUGAUUGGUAAUAAGUGGACAUGUGAAUUUAAAGGUUCACCUAAGUCUUGUUCUAUAUAUAAUAUGUUAAUAAAGCAUAUAAAAAGUAAAAUAUUUUUGACAAAGAAUAAAAGUUUAAAUUCACUUUAUAUUUUAAAAUAAAAAAAUUUUAAAAUGUCUUUUUUAAUGAAAAUUUACAUGUAUUAAAACAAUAGAAAUGAUAAUGACAAAUUAUUUUUAGAAAAACCCAAAAAAGCCCAAAAAGCCUUAGAGUCCUAUAAAGACUGGGCUGAACUUCGAAUUUUAGGUCUAAAAUAUAUCCGGACCGGACUGGACUCAAAUAUUUAUGGGCUUAGCGGGUUUAGACCUAACCGGACCAGUCCAAAUGGACACCUCCAGGUAACAUAACAAAAUCAAUUUUAAAAGAUGAUGGUCCAGUUGAAACCAGCUUGAUUGAUCCCUCUUCUUCAUGCGAAAGAAGACAAUGGCGCAGCCAAUUUGGGAUCGGGCUAUUCAAAAUAUAUACCCUCACAUACUAUGGGGUCCAAAUAAAUUGGUACAGCUUAUCGUCUCCACUCGGAUCACAAGUCCAAGUGGGCUUGUGAGCAAACCUUAUAUAUACAACAAGGAAUUUUUUUCUUUCUACCGAUGUGGGCUUUGGUGGCUAAAAACAUUUUCUCACAUUAUAACUCUCUCUACGGUGUCCUUUCUCCUAAAAUAUGUUUUGUUUCUUCUCCAGUACGCAAUUUUUUUAUUUUUCUUUGAUUACCUGAUGAAUUCGUUCUCAUUACUGCCUGCUUUGUAAUUUCUGUCAGAUGCGUUUGAAAUGAAACUACACGAAGACAACCUCGAAUUUAGCACAACGAUUGUGUUGAAUGUGAGUACUUAAACUCGAGUUUCCCUCAAAUUUGAACUUGUACAAAGCUUGUCUCUACGUGAGGCCAAGCGGGUAAAUCCUGUGUACUCUAAGCUCCUUGUCUCCUUUUAAAGUCCCUUUUGAUCGCUGUAAGGAAUUAACCUACUUGUGCUUUUAAGAACUUAGAAUAAAAACUGUAACCAAAACGUAUUCUCUUUAUUAGAAUAUGUAAUUAAGCUUGUAUCUUCACAAUAGAAAGCUUAGAACCGUAAAGACUAACCCCAACCUAAAGCUCUAUAUAUAACCCCUUAUAAAUUCCCUGUUACAAUAGGCUUAAGACAAAUUUCCUAUUCCUAUAUGACUUUGUGUAUUUGACCGACACUGUCAUAAAAGGAAAUAACGUAAUCUUCACUUGUUGCAGGAUCUGCAUAUUGGGCUUGAGAAUAUCAGUUGUGGCCCACUAGUUUCUACAAACUCCACCUUGGGCCCAAAUGAUUUAUUCUCCUCGUGUCUCCUUCCUUUGGUAUCAUCGACGUCGUCUAGAGCUCUCUUCUUUCUUCCAUGGCGACGCUUACGAUGAUGGUGAUUCCAAAAUGAUGAUGGCAUUUAAUCGUACAGAUCCUUCGUCAAGGCUCUCCGAUCCACCACUGCAUCUCUCCUUUUAAGGAUUCCGGCUCAGCUCCUUCGUAUCUCUGUCUCGUGAACCCACCACCGAGGUUUCUUCGGCGGCGCCUCUCACUCUGAUCCUCACCUAUCAUGAGAGAAGAUCGCGACUUCUUCUUUCUUUUUUUUUUUUUUUUUAGCCAUCGGAGAUGAUAAUUUCACCGAAAAUAUGACGUCCCCUUUUUUCGCUUCGCAGGCGCAAUUUGUAUGCGUCUCCUUUGCUGUAUCAACGACUCAUGUCUCCCUUCAGCUUUGUUUUUAGCUGUUUAAGACAUUCCUAUGUCGUUAAUCUUUAUCCGUCGAUCCACCGAGCCUCUUUGUUACCGCUUGAGCUGCUCCACCUAGAGCUGAGAACUCCUUUCCUUUAGAACUCCUUGCCUCGCAUCUUCCUAGCAGGUAACUUCCUUGUAACCAUUGAGCUUCCUUGUUAUCGAUAAGAAGUAACUUGUUUGCUCUAACCUUAUUACUUCUUCUUGUGCGAGGUGUAUCGAUAACGAAGUUACCUGCCGUGCUGGUUUCUCAAGCUAUCUUGAGGAGUUCACAACAGAGAUCAAACUUUUGCCCUGGUAA